GCGGCGUGCCUAAUACAUGCAAGUCGAACGAACUCUGGUAUUGAUUGGUGCUUGCAUCAUGAUUUACAUUUGAGUGAGUGGCGAACUGGUGAGUAACACGUGGGAAACCUGCCCAGAAGCGGGGGAUAACACCUGGAAACAGAUGCUAAUACCGCAUAACAACUUGGACCGCAUGGUCCGAGUUUGAAAGAUGGCUUCGGCUAUCACUUUUGGAUGGUCCCGCGGCGUAUUAGCUAGAUGGUGAGGUAACGGCUCACCAUGGCAAUGAUACGUAGCCGACCUGAGAGGGUAAUCGGCCACAUUGGGACUGAGACACGGCCCAAACUCCUACGGGAGGCAGCAGUAGGGAAUCUUCCACAAUGGACGAAAGUCUGAUGGAGCAACGCCGCGUGAGUGAAGAAGGGUUUCGGCUCGUAAAACUCUGUUGUUAAAGAAGAACAUAUCUGAGAGUAACUGUUCAGGUAUUGACGGUAUUUAACCAGAAAGCCACGGCUAACUACGUGCCAGCAGCCGCGGUAAUACGUAGGUGGCAAGCGUUGUCCGGAUUUAUUGGGCGUAAAGCGAGCGCAGGCGGUUUUUUAAGUCUGAUGUGAAAGCCUUCGGCUCAACCGAAGAAGUGCAUCGGAAACUGGGAAACUUGAGUGCAGAAGAGGACAGUGGAACUCCAUGUGUAGCGGUGAAAUGCGUAGAUAUAUGGAAGAACACCAGUGGCGAAGGCGGCUGUCUGGUCUGUAACUGACGCUGAGGCUCGAAAGUAUGGGUAGCAAACAGGAUUAGAUACCCUGGUAGUCCAUACCGUAAACGAUGAAUGCUAAGUGUUGGAGGGUUUCCGCCCUUCAGUGCUGCAGCUAACGCAUUAAGCAUUCCGCCUGGGGAGUACGGCCGCAAGGCUGAAACUCAAAGGAAUUGACGGGGGCCCGCACAAGCGGUGGAGCAUGUGGUUUAAUUCGAAGCUACGCGAAGAACCUUACCAGGUCUUGACAUACUAUGCAAAUCUAAGAGAUUAGACGUUCCCUUCGGGGACAUGGAUACAGGUGGUGCAUGGUUGUCGUCAGCUCGUGUCGUGAGAUGUUGGGUUAAGUCCCGCAACGAGCGCAACCCUUAUUAUCAGUUGCCAGCAUUAAGUUGGGCACUCUGGUGAGACUGCCGGUGACAAACCGGAGGAAGGUGGGGAUGACGUCAAAUCAUCAUGCCCCUUAUGACCUGGGCUACACACGUGCUACAAUGGAUGGUACAACGAGUUGCGAACUCGCGAGAGUAAGCUAAUCUCUUAAAGCCAUUCUCAGUUCGGAUUGUAGGCUGCAACUCGCCUACAUGAAGUCGGAAUCGCUAGUAAUCGCGGAUCAGCAUGCCGCGGUGAAUACGUUCCCGGGCCUUGUACACACCGCCCGUCACACCAUGAGAGUUUGUAACACCCAAAGUCGGUGGGGUAACCUUUUAGGAACCAGCCGCCUAAGGUGGGACAGAUGAUUAGGGGUG
rnacentral:rRNA from 2 species